AUUGAACGCUGGCGGCAUGCCUUACACAUGCAAGUCGAACGGCAGCAUGAUCUAGCUUGCUAGAUUGAUGGCGAGUGGCGAACGGGUGAGUAAUACAUCGGAACGUGCCCUGUAGUGGGGGAUAACUAGUCGAAAGAUUAGCUAAUACCGCAUACGACCUGAGGGUGAAAGUGGGGGACCGCAAGGCCUCAUGCUAUAGGAGCGGCCGAUGUCUGAUUAGCUAGUUGGUGAGGUAAAGGCUCACCAAGGCGACGAUCAGUAGCUGGUCUGAGAGGACGAUCAGCCACACUGGGACUGAGACACGGCCCAGACUCCUACGGGAGGCAGCAGUGGGGAAUUUUGGACAAUGGGCGAAAGCCUGAUCCAGCAAUGCCGCGUGUGUGAAGAAGGCCUCCGGGUUGUAAAGCACUUUUGUCCGGAAAGAAAUGGCUCUGGUUAAUACCUGGGGUCGAUGACGGUACCGGAAGAAUAAGGACCGGCUAACUACGUG
rnacentral:rRNA from 1 species